CGCGGGGUAGAGCAGUCAGGAAGCUCGUCGGGCCCAUAACCCGAAGGCCGUUGGUUCAAAUCCAACCCCCGCAA
rnacentral:tRNA from 1 species